rnacentral:rRNA from 1 species
UACGGAGGGUGCAAGCGUUGCUCGGAAUUAUUGGGCGUAAAGGGCGCGUAGGCGGCCAUGCGUGUCUUCCGUGAAAUCCCUCGGCUUAACUGAGGACGUGCGGAAGAAACUGCAAGGCUCGAGUCCGGGAGAGGGGGGUGGAAUUCCCAGUGUAGCGGUGAAAUGCGUAGAUAUUGGGAGGAACACCCGUGGCGAAGGCGGCUCUCUGGGACGGUACUGACGCUGAGACGCGAAAGCGUGGGGAGCGAACAGG